rnacentral:misc_RNA from 1 species
GUGAAUCAUCGAAUUUUUGAACGCAAAUUGCACUCUCUUCGGAGAGUAUGCCUGUUUGAGGGUCAGACUAAAAAAAAUAGAUAUAGUUGCUGUUUCGCGGUGGCGUUCGUCGGAAAUUGGGUUAUUUUUAAUUUUUGGUUUAUGCUAAUUAAAAUGUUCUUUACGUUUACAUGAACGUUUCUAAGAUUUAUUUUUUUAUACGUUUUAGGUAUCGUUUUUAUUAGGUGUGUUUGUCAUAUUGGAUCAUGCCCAU